GACGGAGGAUGCAAGUGUUAUCCGGAAUCACUGGGCGUAAAGCGUCUGUAGGUGGUUUAAUAAGUCAACUGUUAAAUCUUGAGGCUCAACCUCAAAAUCGCAGUCGAAACUAUUAGGCUAGAGUAUAGUAGGGGUAAAGGGAAUUUCCAGUGGAGCGGUGAAAUGCGUAGAGAUUGGAAAGAACACCGAUGGCGAAGGCACUUUACUGGGCUAUUACUAACACUCAGAGACGAAAGCUAGGGUAGCAAAAGGG
rnacentral:rRNA from 1 species